rnacentral:lncRNA from 1 species
GGAACUGGUGUUUGGCUCAGCCCCCUCCUCUGUCACGCUCUUCCUGUGUUCACACCGCAUGUGAACCAGGCAUCCGUUCCCGUCUUAGUCGUGCAAACUAUUGCAUUUGGAGUAGAUAAGCAGUUAGAUCAUGCUGCACUGGGAACUAUAUCUAGUCACUUGUGAUGGAACAUGAUGGAAGAUAAUAUGAGAAAAAGAAUGUGUAUAUGUGUGUGUGUGUGUGUGUGAGACUGGAUCACUUUGCUGUACAGUAGAAACUUGACACAAUACCAUAAACCAACUAUAAUGGAAAAAAAUAAAAAUCAAUAAAAAUAAAUAAAACCUUAAAUAAAUGAAUAAAUAAAGCAAGGUUAAGAGACCUGAGGGUGGUUGAGAGUACAUUUAGGAUGGUUGGAAAAGGGUUCUGAGCUGAAAUCUAAAUGAAGUAAGGGAGCCACUACCUGGAAGGGCACCGAAGAGAGAGGAAACGUAAGGGGGAGAGUCCAGAGGUCAGGACUUUGCUUAGCAUAUCCGUAGGUCAAAGUGAGGCCAGUGUGGCUGGAGGGCAAUGAGUAAGAGUGAGAGGGCUAUAGGCUGAGGUUGAGGGCUCUGCAGGCCAAGUUAGGGUUGUUCAUUGGCUGUUGGGAGAGAGUAUAUUGAUAUAUUGUGUUAGUAGUCACUAUGAUUACUGGCUGAGUCCACUGUUGCUAACAGCUUUUAAAACUUGGGUCCUACUAGAAUCUAUGGAAGUUCUGUAUUUGGUGGUCACACAGGCUUUGUUGAGCCCGUGCCUCAUCUCUGCCAGUGUAUCAGCAGUUGUAGAGUCUAGUCCAUUCUGGGACCUUUCUGUGACUAUUUAUCUAGAAUGUUCUCCUCUCAAAUUCAUUGCUGCAGUAGGCUGGGUCAGGCCAGGUUGGGUUGAUGUACAUAAUCGUAUCAUCCUUUAUUGUCUGGAGUUGGACGUUUUUAAUGUGUGAAAGGGUUUGAUGAGUGAAAUGGAAAUUUAUCUUGGCAGGUAAACAUGGCCUCCUUUGGUGAUGGGUUUUCAGAUUGUGUCUGUGACUUUGGAACAGUGUUCCUCAGGAAGCAGGAUUUGCAUGUCCCUCCUAGUUCACUUUUGGAGGACAGCAGUGAGGAGUGUCAUUUGCUCAAGAUCUCCUGUCUUAACUAGAACAGCUGUGACCUGACUCCAAGCUCUUUGCAGCCCAUCAUGUUGUGUCUGGUCCCUGGAGAAUUUGCUUCUAUUGCCAGCUCUGCUAAAUGAAGUUUUAACUUGAGGAUAAAGACAAAGUCUGUUUUAUUUAUCUUUGCAGUUAAAGGAUUUGGGUUCUCUAAGAUCUUCCCAACUCCAAAAUUCUAAGAUUUUAGUAGAAUUUAGUUUUAUCCCCUCCCACCCACACCGCCCCUGCCAACCCUGACCAGUCCAGGGGCCCAGACAUCACUUAGUAGGUUUUUUUCCUCCAUUUGGAUCUGUCUUCCUCACUAGUCCCUUUGUCUUGGGACAUAGCUGGUGGCUAAAUUUCUCUUUGGAGAUUGCGUGGGCAACUCUAGUCCUUAGUGAUUGUGCUGUAGGCUUGCCAGGCCUUGCAGGGGGCAUGAUCAAAGCACAUGACCUCCUGUUCUUGAAGCAAUUUGAAAAGCCACUGCAGUUGGUCCAGAUACUAAAGUUGAUCAUAAUAGGCAAGUACCAUAGUUUCCUGAUGGUACAGUGGGUUAAGGAUCUGGCAUUGUCACUGCUGUGGCUCGGGUUCGACACAAGCUGUGAUAGAGGUUCGAUCUCUGUCCUGGGAAUUUUCACAUGGUGUGAGUGCAGCUCCCCCCCCCAAAAAAA